GGACCCGCACAAGCGGUGGAUGAUGUGGUUUAAUUCGAUGCAACGCGAAAAACCUUACCUACCCUUGACAUGCCAGGAAUCCCAUAGAGAUGUGGGAGUGCUCGAAAGAGAGCCUGGGCACAGGUGCUGCAUGGCCGUCGUCAGCUCGUGUCGUGAGAUGUUGGGUUAAGUCCCGCAACGAGCGCAACCCUUGUCAUUAGUUGCUACGAAAGGGCACUCUAAUGAGACUGCCGGUGACAAACCGGAGGAAGGUGGGGAUGACGUCAGGUCCUCAUGGCCCUUAUGGGUAGGGCUACACACGUCAUACAAUGGCCGGUACAGAGGGCUGCCAACCCGCGAGGGGGAGCCAAUCCCAGAAAACCGGUCGUAGUCCGGAUUGCAGUCUGCAACUCGACUGCAUGAAGUCGGAAUCGCUAGUAAUCGCGGAUCAGCUUGCCGCGGUGAAUACGUUCCCGGGUCUU
rnacentral:rRNA from 1 species